GGAAGACUUGGAAUUUUGCCUUUGUCUUAGCUCCUCAAAAGAGAAAUAGGUAAGCCUUCGGAAGAAUUAACGUGCCCGGUGCCUUUUGACGCGCUCCCGCUGUUUAGAAACCUCUCUACCUGCACGUUCUGUAAAUUUCAUUCUAACACCACUUUGUGGUGGCCUAGACCAGGAAUCCCGGCGCUUCCGAGGCUGAGACAGCAGGAUCUCCGUGAGCCGGAGGCUGGGGUUGGGCUGCACGGAUCUGUGAUUCCAGUGCUGCCCUUGGUGAUUCACGGAGAAGGUUAUUUUACCCUGGGGACAGAGUGCCACACAAAGACUUUCCUGCUGCUGAAUGUGUGAACAAACACCAUCUCAGAGAAUCAAUAGAAGAAAUCUAAGAAGAAAUGCCUUGAUUGGCAAAGACUUCUGGUGGCCUAUACAGAAUCAUAAAAUGAAUGAAGCACCUGAUGGUCAAGGAAGAGAAAAGAAGAUGAAAGGAUGAAUGCGUAUUUGUUUCAUAAUCACUAACAGGUGUUAAUAAAACGUAUUGUACAAUGCUCAAUUGUCAUGACAUUGAAAGGGAUCAGGUUCACCUGUUCAUUGUGAUAUAUUAUGUAGUUUCACUUCUUAAAAUGCAACAGCUCUGUUGAAUUGUUCUUAUCAUUAACACUUGAAGUAAUAAAAUAGGCUUUAUUAAUGUUUCAUUUGAUUUAUUUUUAUUAUAGU
rnacentral:lncRNA from 1 species